rnacentral:lncRNA from 1 species
UGCCUGGCUACUCAUUGCACAGUCUGUAACCUUCUGUUAUUUUAUACAGUAGGGUAGGUGAUACAGUUUACUUUCUUUUUUUUUUCUUCUUCUUUUUUUUUUUCCUUUCUUUUUUUUUUUUUUUCUUUUAAUAUAAGAUGACAUGUGUAGUGGAAAUCUGGGACAUGUAGAAUUUUCCCAGCAAAGAGACAGAAUGCUGCUGGUGGUGGUGGUUUACCAUUAUGUGAAUGUUAUUUAUCAUUUAUUUCUUGAUCAUUUUUUUCUUCUUUGUAGCAGUCCCUGCACCUGAGAGCAGCAUCAACAAGAGCAAAGUGAGCAAGAAGUCUGAUUAACCACGAGAGAUCAAAAGAGCCGCAGGACUCAAGUUUAGCCACGUGAUUAAGUCACAACCUGAACUGAACAAAGACAUUUUGGGUAGUGUCCAAGAGGAGGAGCUUCAAAUUAGCUAAAACAAACCUUCUGGCUGAAGGUCAGGAAAAGUACUGCUCUGUGAUCCCUCCAUCCUCUGUUUACACCAGGUACCCCUGCAGGUGCCGGCUCUGCCCCGUUGUGCCAGGCACGGAGGAGGGGAUCACUGGGGCUUUCAAAGCACACCAGGCAAGGCACAGGGCAGAUUCUGUUUUGGAGGAGUUCUGCAGGAGAGGGGGGGAUAGAGAGGACACUCAGCACUGGGACAUGGAAACUCUGAAGAGCUUCAACAACUUUGGUCCUCCAACUGAUCCAGGAAACUGAGAUGUUUAGCAAACUCAAAAUGAAUAUAUCAAGAGUAUUCGGGAUAAGAGUCUGAAAUAAGAACGUGGGCUACUGUAAUGCACAGCAAGUUAAAAUCUGGGAGAAAAGUGUGACAGAGGACUAUUCCUGGCCUGAAGAGAAGGUAAAAAUUCAAGUAUUAAGUUAAAAAGGUCACUGGGAAAGUGCUGUAGUAACUCUUAGUCAGAGGAAAGCAGGAUUUGGCUGUGUCACAGAGAGAAGCAUCCUUAUCCUGUAUGCCAGAUGGAUCAUGGCUUCCUUGCUCAAACACUGAGUAAAGGUUUGGAAGAGAUCACACAAGGAGAAUUGGUAAGAGCAGAGCCACUAGAAUGUGAUAUGAUUCAUUUUGGACUUGCAAUCCUGAAAACUUACACGGGGCUGGUUUCUGAAAUCUAGAGGUG